rnacentral:tRNA from 1 species
GCCGUCGUAGCUCAAUUGGAAGAGCGUGGGACUCUUAUUCAAUCGAUAGAUUGUAAGCAAUCUCAAGGUCGUGGGUUCGAGCCCCACCGGUGGCUCAA